UAGGGUAUAGCUUAUUGGGGUAGAGCACUUGCCUAGAAUGUAUGAGGCCCUGGGUUUGAUUCUUAGUACCACAA
rnacentral:tRNA from 1 species